GCGACAGAGGGCUUCCGGAAAGAGCACAGAAUGGCAGCAGUAACCCAGGGCUCCCGGAAACAGCACCCAGGGCCCUGGGUGGAGCUAAGAAGCGUGAAAGGCGGUUUAAGGGGAGAGAGCUGUCCUGGGCUGCUGACAGCGGAAAUCUGCUACUCCCAUAGAAAAUAGAAUGACAUCAUCGCCAGGAUGAAGAAACGGAGGGUCCCCACGGUGAACACUGCAUGCCAUUUACCUUCUGAUGCUUUGUAAGAAAGGACAGAAGCUUCCCCGGCAAGAUUUAUCACCACAGCACCGAGGAGCCGAGAUAUGUCAAAGCCAUGGCAUCCAGCUAAUCCCCGAGUAGUGAGUGAGGGUGAAUUUCAUUUGUUGAGUCUGGCAUUAACUGUGAUAAGCUUCAAAUGCAAGAAUGCCUCGGCUCAGUUAUCUCACUGAAAUGACGUUUUUAAUUGAGAAAGAAAAUAGCCGCUGUGGAUACACAGUGAGAAGUAAAAACACUGACGCUACCUUCAAGUCACUGAAUCUGAUGGGAAGUGGCGUGGGGCGUAGAGCCUGCCGCCAGCUACACAGUGUUCUGACGGAAUAACCAGGAGACCAUCAGGAGAGCUGUAAGUGGGUAUCUGCUAUACAACUCACUGACAUCUGAAAUGAGAAGUAGCGGCCCUGCUGCCUUGGAGACUCAUCUGUUAACAGCGGAUUUGGGCUUUCUUGUGACCCGGCCGUCAUUAACACGCCCAUCCCCAGGUCAGCUUCUAAUCGAAUCUCACGAACAAAUUCUGUAUAACAGAGGGAUGGCUUUCUCUUCUAAUCGAAACUCAUGAACAAAUUCUGUAUAACAGAGGGAUGGCUUUCCCCCAGUGGUUGGUUAAACAAGCUUACUUGGGGGCCAUUUUGAGGUUUCCCAUUAACUCUCUGAAGUUCCCACACACUGAGUACUUUUAUGCUUUUAUAAUAGUUUGCCAACUAGUAUUCAUGGCAUUUAUAUGUGCUAUUGAUGAUGUGGAGUGAUUAUUUAUUGGCAGUCAGUUGCAAAUACAGAGCAGAAGAUUACUAACUGUAAGAUCAUUUGCAUUAAAAUGUUAAAACCA